GUAAAGCGCGCGUAGGUGGUUAAUUAAGUCAAAUGUGAAAUCCCCGAGCUUAACUUGGGAAUUGCAUUCGAUACUGGUUAGCUAGAGUAUGGGAGAGGAUGGUAGAAUUCCAGGUGUAGCGGUGAAAUGCGUAGAGAUCUGGAGGAAUACCGAUGGCGAAGGCAGCCAUCUGGCCUAAUACUGACACUGAGGUGCGAAAGCAUGGGGAGCAAACAGGAUUAGAUACCCUGGUAGUCCAUGCCGUAAACGAUGUCUACUAGCCGUUGGGGGAUUUGAUCCUUUAGUGGCGCAGCUAACGCGAUAAGUAGACCGCCUGGGGAGUACGGUCGCAAGACUAAAACUCAAAUGAAUUGACGGGGGCCCGCACAAGCGGUGGAGCAUGUGGUUUAAUUCGAUGCAACGCGAAGAACCUUACCUGGCCUUGACAUAGUAGAGACUUUCCAGAGAUGGAUUGGUGCCUUCGGGAAUCUACAUACAGGUGCUGCAUGGCUGUCGUCAGCUCGUGUCGUGAGAUGUUGGGUUAAGUCCCGCAACGAGCGCAACCCUUUUCCUUACUUGCCAGCAUUUCGGAUGGGAACUUUAAGGAUACUGCCAGUGACAAACUGGAGGAAGGCGGGGACGACGUCAAGUCAUCAUGGCCCUUACGGCCAGGGCUACACACGUGCUACAAUGGUCGGUACAAAGGGUUGCUACACAGCGAUGUGAUGCUAAUCUCAAAAAGCCGAUCGUAGUCCGGAUCGCAGUCUGCAACUCGACUGCGUGAAGUCGGAAUCGCUAGUAAUCGCGGAUCAGAAUGCCG
rnacentral:rRNA from 1 species